UUUUUUUUUUUUUUUUUUUUUUUUUUUUCGUUCCC
rnacentral:ribozyme from 1 species